rnacentral:lncRNA from 1 species
UUGCAAGCACAGACUAUUUGGCUGCCUUCGUGGUGCACUGUGGUUCUGAGAUAUUUAGAAUUUCAGGGCCUCUGAUGGCUGGGUCCUGAUGGAGGAAGCCACAUCUAAGCUAAGGAUGUCUUCACUAUAACCUCAGCAAGCUUUCCCCUUGCUGAUCCCAUCAGAACCAUCCCCGGUUGAGCUUCAGACUCCCCUCUGCCAACACUUAAUCUUCUCCUCUUUCAGCAAAAGUAAACAGAUGACAGAAUGUUCUUCCCUGAAGCUUACUAAAACUUUAAAUCCCAGUGUUAUUCUCCAAAGGAAGCUGCUUUCUUCUGGCCACCAGGUCACCAGCUCCUAUAGUGAGCUCUGAGCAGAUUCUAGUCAGCCUCUUUAAGGGGCUGGGACUAAUCGCUGUGACCUCAAUCAAGCCUGCUGGUUUUAUGAUACCAGGAAGGCUCACCAGGUGAACUUCUGCUUCUUUUAGGAGGCUAAGCAUCCCCCAGCCACCCUGGACUUGAGCAGUGUUACCUGCCAGCAAACACAACAGUGCCAACCACUGGUCUCUUCUUUUGGAAAACGUUUGACUUUUAACUUGCUUUCUUCUCUAUUUCAUCAUUAUCCUCCUUUCCGACUUUCAUGUACUCCUAAAAUUUUUGGUUGUAGAACUAAGCAAGAGAAUGAGAACUGGGAAGAACCUUGGAACAAUGCUGAGAGGCUGCCCAGAUGCUCUUCUGUGUUCCACAGCACUGCCGAAUCUUCCUUGUGGCUCUGGUACUGUACUGCCACUCAAAUUUUGGUACAAACCAUUGAAGUAUUUUUUGCUUGUUUUUUAUUAAUCUUAGUGUUCUGUUCCUGGAAUAGUCUCUCAGUUAGCACAUUCCCCCUUGUCCUGAGAUCACCAAGCUCUUCAAGAUUAAGGCUCUUGCUUUCUAGCCUGCCAGCUCUGAUGCAAAGCCAACACCCUUUUCUACUCUGCAGUAUGAAGUGCUCAGGACUGUGUUUUUAGCUGUUCAGAAUAUUAGAGUUAUUCAUGUUGGUUAGUGGAGUUAUCCUUCAGUGUAGAAAGAGAAGACUGCAAGAAAAACUGGCACUAACUUAAGUGGUCUCUGACACCUUCCCUAACCCUGUCCCAGUUUGUGUCACAUUCUACAAUAGAUGAGUGACCAUGAUCAGAGAAACUGGUUUUUUUUUCUUCCUUCCUCUUUCUUUCUUUCUUUCUUUCUUUCUUUCUUUCUUUCUUUCUUUCUUUCUUUCUUUCCUUCCUUCUCUCUUUCUUUGUUUCUUUCUUUCAUAUUAGUUAAUUAAUUAAUUUAUUUAUUUAUUUUGGUGUUUGUUAUAGCAUAAUUUGAUUCAUGAGAAAAUCAUCAGGCAGCUGACAGGUCCCAGCUUCUCCCAAGCUCUAUGUAACCUGUUCCCAGUCACCUAUCUUGACCCAGUGUUCCUCAUGUUUUAAACUAGCUGGCAAACACAUUUGCACAGCCUUAUGGUGGGAACAUUCAACUUGGCAAUAAGUAUUUUGCACUUGAUAGGAUCUCAAAGAUUCCUUCAGACCAAGAGAGACUCCAGCAAGCAUACAGUUACAGAUACUGUUGCCCAACCUGCACAUCUCUGUGCCUGCCUCCCAACACAAGUCAAAUGUAGGGACCAACCCCCCACCAACUACACAUACACACACAAACACACACCUCUGUCCGUUUUGGUAUUAGUAUUCCUUUUUUUUUUAAUUUUCACGCAUCUCUUCAAAAUCUGGACCUCUGGAUCUACAGCCCUGGGUCGUCGUAAAUAGCUCAAAAAUAAGAAAUCAUGACUUCGGCAUUCUUUUUUAAAAUUACUUUAAUAAAUACCCCAACAUGUUCACCUAUACCACUGUACAGGCUUUAUUUAUUUAUUUAUUUAUUUAUUUAUUUAUUGUUGUUUAUUUAUGUGCUUCCAGACCUGUAGUUUGAAUAUAUGUAGUUCAGGGACUGUUGUUUCUAGGCAUUCUACCUAGGAGUUUGUGCCUGUGGAGCAUGUGGAUGCCCCACCCCUGAGCUACACCCAACCCAUACAGAAGUGCUGAUGGGACUGUUUCCAGAGUUCUAGUCUGUGGUAUUAAGACCUAAAAAAAAAUGUAAUGAUUUUUUAAGCCUUUCCUUUUUUGGUUGCUCUUGCAAUUAAAUUAAAUUAAAUUAAAUUGAAAGAGGCAUAUGUUCAAAGUUUUACUGUGGCAACAGUUAAAUAUACAACUAAGCCCUGUCAAGAAACAAUCAAGUGGGGAGAUAGAUGCUUAAGUCUACAAGCUGCUGUCUUCAAGAAAUGUGAGAGCAGAGACCACAUACUCAUGAUCUCCCUCACUCCCACACAGCAGCAAAGGAUUCCUUUCAGCUUUACUGAUUCACACUGUGGAUACAGAACAUUCUAGAAGGCCAGCUCUUGCUUCUCACCUAUGUUUAUUGUCCAGAAAGGACAAGUCUUUGGAGACAGAGGAGGCAGUAUCAUCCAGGAUGAGUUAUUAGGCCUGGCUUGCCAUUCCUUUUAAUUUAGUCCUUUAGGGAGGCUACCAUCAAGGAACAAAGCCAGAGAGAAUGUAGAAAUAGGGCUUCUCAUGGCUAUUGCUUCAACCUAUGUCCUUGAGGUACUGUGUCUGUACAGAAAAUAAGACCCCGAGAGGCCAACAAGAAAUGCAAUUUAAACUGCACCUUAGAUAAUAAAAUUGGAUGAAAAGUAAAAAGAAAAAAAAAAACCAACAGAUUUCCUGGUACUAGGUUUCCUGUAAACACCUUGUGGGUACCUCAUAAGCAGCUGAGAUUAUUAGUGUUUGGUCCUAGUGACUAUUUCAGCUGCCUUAUCCAUAUUAGCUGCUAAGAAGUGAUAACUCCCCAAGUUCCCAUAUAAAGUCUCUCCUGCUACCGUAUUACAAUGGCAAGGAGAACAGGGGCUUUUGUUUGUUUGCUUGCUUGCUUGCUUGUUUUACUUCCUUGAGGUUCAAACUAGAGUCCCACCCCCGACACAUUCAGGUGUGACCAUACAGCUACCUUUGAAGGUGAAGACCUAGAGUGACUUAGCAUAUCUGUGCAUUAAAUUAGAAAGUAUUUAGCAGAAACAUGUAGCAUAGCCGAAUUUGAAAACAAGAUUGUGCACUUGGGAGGCAGAAGCAGGUAGAUAUCGAAGUUCAAGGCCAAUGUGUUCUACAGAGUGAGUUCCAGGAUAGCCAGGGCUACACAGAGAAACUCUGUCUAAAAAACUCCAAGAAAAUAAAAAAAUAAAAAAAAAUGAGAUUGCGUUUUGAAAAUACUUGAAGUAUUUCCUGACCUCCAGGUACCACUUUAACCAUGCUAGAUAUCUAGGUUGGGAGUCACUGAAGCACACCCCACAGCUAUAUUGGCCAGUAAUGGAAAGUCCACUUGUUGUAGGAAGUUGAUAGUGCCUGCUCCACAGACGCUGUCAUUUCUUAAGCCAAUCUUUAGAAUCCCCAAAUGUUUGGGGCAGUGAAAAACAGUAAAUAUACUUUGUUAAGUAAAAACAGACUGUUUUUUUUUUAAUGGUAUACUUUUACAUGACAAAUAAUAAAAAAAAAAAACUUGUAAUCUGUGUCUGUCACACUAAGACACCAGAUACCACAGAGAAUCUCUUAAAUCACCACCAAAGAAAUGGAGAGAAUAAAUCAAAUGUUUGAAAAAAUAGAGAAUGGCCUUGGAAGAUGACUCAGUCUGUAAAGAACUGACCACACAACUAUAGGGGGCUGAGUCAGGACCCUCGGAACAACUAUACAUCUGGGCAGGCAUAACAGCUUCCUGCCAUCCCUUGUCUAAGAAGGCAGACAAGUGAUACCCCGCCCCCACCCCCUGCAACAGGGGCAUACUGGCUAGCUGGAUUAGCUCUGGCUUCAAAUGGAAAGCCCUGCUCCCAUAUAUAAAGUGGAGAGAUAUUAAGGAAGAUAUUUGACAAUAACUUUAGGUCUCCAGAGGUACGUGCACACAUGAACAUCCACACCCAAAGUCACACAUGCAAAAGAAAGUGGACUAGAAUCUUAGUUAAUUCUUAGCACCUUACUGGAGUUCUUACAGUGUGGAACUCUUGUCUUACGGAACGAAUGUGGUAACAUUCCUACAUACAGGAGAUAGGUGGCCUCUCAGAGGGGCUCAAGUUUACCCAGGAGAAGGCCAGUUAGUCUUUGAAGCUAGUCACUAUUCAGUUUAAUCCUUGGCGGCUAGUCUUCUUGCCGUGAACUGUCUCAUUUUAGACACCAAAUAUAUAGAAAUAGAAUCAGCAAUCUAUUCAUUAUGCCAACUUUAUAGCUACUUCUGAAGACCUCAUGUUGUGCUUGCCUCUCAGAGAGAGAUGCCUACUCCUUACCUACUGCCUUCAAUAACAGCAGAGCUCCAUGGGGCUGUCCUUCAUGACAUUAUUCAAUCCUGACCUUCAUUGUGGUAUUAAUAUAAAGAAAUUUAGUCUGCAUACACGGGGUUUUGUGUUCCAACUUGCUUACUAUCCUGAGUGUCCAGGUCCCUCAUAGAGUCCAGAAGUCUCUGAAGGACUCUGAACAUUGCCAAAGGUUUCAGUGAGGGAGUCUAACAGGUCAGGAAGUCACUGCUAAAUCAAGGCUUCUAGAGAAAUGUUUUGCAGGGUGCUGCUUCAGUCAGAUUAUUUGCUGUUAGACACUGAGGCUCACAGCUUAGUGUGACUUAGUUCCAACUGUCCAGACUCCUUGCCUGGAAGAUGUAAUGUUCCAUUUUGUCAUGUGAAUUUGAAAGGUCACCAGGUGAGGGCAAAUGAAAGCCAUCACUGUGAUUUGGAAAUCAGCUCUCUCAGAAGCAGUUGAGUGGCCUCCCUUGGACCUUCUGCAUGUCAUAGUGCAUUUUAGGAUCUGUCAUAGACAAGGCUUAUGAAAGUAGCUUUUUGGGAAACUGGAAGGAUAAGAGGGGUGGCUCACAGGAGCACAAAUGCAGACCCACAACUCAUAUCAGAGUUGAAACUGCUAGGUCCUCACUGCCAACUUCCCAGUUGGCUGGCUUGAAGAUGACAACAGCUCAGGGAGCCUUUGAGCAAGUGAAGAAAAUUAAAUGCUCAUUUCCCUGAAAAACUAAAUUCUCAGGUGGUUGCCUGACAGGGGGAAGGGAGGAAUUUUUAAAUCAUAGCCUUUGUUGAUGUUCUCUGGCUUUUUCUUGGGAGGCUGCUUCAAGCAAUAAUGUGAGGUAUGAGGUAAUCCUGUCAGGUGGUAUGCUGGGCUUUUAAGUCUUGUGCAGGUUGCCUGUUUACCCACACAAUUCACAUAGGGGCUGAAAAGCUUAACUUAUCAGGGAUGGAACUAGGUUUUACAGAGUUCCUUUAACCAAAUAGGCUUGCUACUUUUUCCUUUCUUCCUGCAUCUGCCAAGUCUUUCCGACCAUUUUCAUUGAUCUCACCAGAUGAGUAACACUUUAAGUUCCAAAGGCUUAAACAGCAAUGUAGAAAUCAACUCCGUGUUAUUUUUUUUCCAAUUUAAUUCUUCACUCUUUGUCAUAUUUUCAUUUUCUUGCAUUAGUUCCUAUGGCAAUGUGUCUGUUGGCAGAGAAAAUUUAACUCUUUUAGUGUUGAUCACAAUGUAAAAUCCUUUUUAGGCAAGUGCCACAAAAACAAGCAGAGACUGGAAUUCUCUUGCUAAUACGUUUUCUUAUCUCUUAUAUUGAUUUCCCAUCCUAUCCCCCAAGCAAAGCUCUCACAGAAAAACAUGCAGAGGCCUUUGAGGCAGCUACAGCUUCAAGGAUUUAACCUUUGGCUUCCCAUGGCUUCCCGUUCCAAGUGUCAAAAACAUGAAUGCAUCUAUCAGGGAUGUACAAAAGACAACUUUCAAUUUCUAUCAGAAACACCCAGUGUAUCUGAGGAAAUACACACAUCCUAAAAUGAGCCUCAAGUCAGGGUCUAAUGGCAAGAUGAGAGGCACUUAAGCAGAUUUCCUCCCAGUAAGUAAAUGGCAAAGAGGCCAAGCAAGCUCUAAGCUCUUGAAAGAAGCAGCAAAGACUCAGGUGGAAACCAAAUGACAUGGCUACUUGUAUGGGGGAAGCGGCACUUCAGUUCAGACAGUUUGUGAUCAAGUAUGAAAAAGCAAGCAACUGCAUCAGGCUUGAUGAUGUAUGCCUAUGAUUCCAGCAAUGGAAGGUCAAAGGCAGGAGGAUUACAAGUUUGAGGCCAGUCUGGGCUACAUGGGAAGACCUUGCAAGGACUAGGAUUCAAGGUGCUAGGUUCAAUUCCUAGGACCUAAAAGGCCUACUAAAGCCUUUAGAAAUGCUUUAGAAAUGGAAUGUAGAGAUAAAGGGAAGAGGACUAUGCAGAAAGCCCAACCCCAAGAUUAAAUGUUUGUUUUAAACUUUAGGUUCCAUCAUGGCUUGACAUUGGCAGCUCCUUCUACUGCUUCAGUAUCCAGAAGCAACAGGUCUACUGGCAGAAAUUGAAUAGACUUACCCAAAUAUGUGUAGGAUUUUUUUUUUUUUAAAGAAAAACUGAUGAAUUCAGGGGAAUGAAAUAGAUAUUAAAUAAAAUGUGGUUAUCUUAAGUAUAGUUAGGAAAAACGAUCAAAUGUAAUUGAUCUUUUUGCUUAGUCUAAUGAGACACUUAAGCACUAAGCUGCUUGUAUUGUAUAAAUGUAUUUUUGGCUGUUCAAAGGUUAUUUUCCUAUAUUAAGAAGUUUAUUAAAACCUUUUAUUGCAACUCAGGUUUUGUGUCUUUUAGACACACAUUUUUCUUUGCUAGUUUGUUUUGCACAGCUGGAGUUUUGAGGUGGAAUAAUGCCUGGGCAUGGCAGUCAGCUAAACUGCCUGAUAGUGAGACUAAGGAAGGUACUUGACAUGUGGACAAUCCACAUUGUUGUUUCACAGCUCUCCACGCCUCCACUAAAUACAGUUAGCCGGGAACCUCACAUGAUUUUGUUUGUUUUUGAAAAGUCUCUGGAAAAACCAAGACGAAUCUCUCAGGCAGAUAAAGAGCUUUCCGUAUUUGCCUAAACGUACUAUUGAAAUAAAUAUUAUUUUCAAUACUUGUUUUUCCACUUGGAGGGCACGUACUGGUCUCAGACCAGGGAGAGGGCAUCUGGCUUAGAUCAGGACUGCUGAGUGCUGUGGAACUCUUAAGAAACUUUGUUUUGAUGUCAGUGUCAACAGAUUGCAAGGAAUGGUUCGUAUUUCUGCUCCAACAAUUAGAUAUUUCCUUUGCUUCCCUCCUCUGAAGAGCAAGCCUUACUGUGAUAUGUUUGGAGUAAAGACAAAGGUAAUUGACAGGCAAACCGCACUUUUGUUGGAAGAGCCGGUUAAGUUCUCUUUGUAUUCAGUGAAUGUGAGGGACUGUAGGCAGAUUGAGAAUGUAAAACUGUUUAUACAUGAAGGAAGGGACACUGUCCAGGGCUGGCAGGAAGCCAGAGGUAGAUCUAUUGAACUUCAAAGGGUAAGGUCAUUGCAAGAUCACUACAGGUUAUAGCAAAACCAGAAUUUUCUUUCCUACUUACAGCCAUGAAAGGGCACCUCACUGUCAGCUGUGUAUGAGAAACUCAUACUGCAGUCUCAUUCUUUUCAGGAAAGAAAUAUUAAGUAAUUCUGAUGGAAGAAUAGAAAAGUAAUUCUAAUGGAAGACAAUGGUGGGUUUACAAGAGGUUUGUAAAGAAUUAUACAAACACACUACAGACUGUUUUUUUAAACACUCAUGAAAUUUAUUUUUCACUUUCAAAACUAUCAAUUGAUGAUUUUUUUGCCCUCAGUAAUUUAUGAGAUGAAAUGUAUUUCAUUAUUCUGUAAAUGUUUUAUGUGUCAAACACAUAAAAAUUUUGAGGUCAUAUUUGCCAGUUAAUGAAAUAUUUCAUUCUCAUAAAAAGUCAUAAGAGAAAUUCCUAAGUGGUGACGCAGCUUUGGGUCUCUUGACCAUACUCUCUGAUGGGAUCUGGCUUCAUUACCAUAAGUACAGUACCCGGGUAACAUAUCUGCAGUAACCGCAGUAAUCUUCCCUCAGAACCAGAACUGGGACCUCAUUCCUAAAUCUCCGAUCUAGCUGAUGACAGGUGGCAGGUGAGUGUUCCUUCUGUCCAUCCUUUGCUGUCUAUGUGGACAUUCUGAUGUGUGUCAGUGAGCUGAAUUCUACACGCUGUAUAUAUUGCAUGCAUUUCACUGCAGUCUAUGGACAUGCCCUUUGUAGAGCUUUUAUGGAAGAACCAAGAAGCCAAGGCAGUUUAGCAAACGAGGCUCAAUAUUUAUAAACCGGGGCCUUUUCUGUCUCUUUGCUAGCCUAGGUGGCUGUAUACAAAGUGGGUGGGAGGGGCAGCAAACACCUCACACAUCACAUUUAGAUUUUCUACUUGGGUGUACUCUAGCCAAUUCAAAACAAAUUGCUUACUUUAAUAAUAAAGUUUACCAUUUUAUAUUAAAAAAAUCAAACCAUGACAUGUUUAAUUGAACUGGCUGUAUUGUAAUUAAUAUUUUGAGAUAAUUGUGAUUUUCAGCUUAAAAUUAUAUAUAAAAAUUGUCAUUUUUGUAUGUGUUAAAAAAAAAACCAAUGUACCAUGAUUAACAGUACUUUUUAGUUAAACUACAUAUUGGUGUAAAUAAAACUGAAUGAAGAAACACUUACUACUUUACUAACUUAGAUUGUGAAUGUACUUCAUGGUUUUUUGCCAUAUGAGACCAUAACAACCUUGAAAGAAAGCUGUUUAAUUUUAUGUGCAAAGUCCCACUAACCUGUAUUUCAGCUCUGCCAAGCCAAUGACUUUGCAAGUGUGAUCUGUACUCUCCAGCUGUGUCUUACGUUCUGACACUAUGGGUUAGGGGUAGGGUGUAGCCUGGGAGCAUUUGCAGAUGCACUCUGUACAGAUAAUAGCGCUGUGUGGUGUAUAGCAGAGCCAUUUUUAGGUUCUGUUGUACUCAAUUUUUUCAGAAUUUAAAAAAGUGUUUUGAAUAACAUAAAAGUCUAUUGUAUAAAUAAUAAAAUGUCACCUUAUUA